UACGUAGGGUGCAAGCGUUGUCCGGAAUUAUUGGGCGUAAAGAGCUCGUAGGCGGUCUGUCGCGUCGGCUGUGAAAACCCGGAGCUCAACUCCGGGCCUGCAGUCGAUACGGGCAGACUGGAGUUCGGCAGGGGAGACUGGAAUUCCCGGUGUAGCGGUGAAAUGCGCAGAUAUCGGGAAGAACACCCGUGGCGAAGGCGGAUCUCUGGGCCAUUACUGACGCUGAGGAGCGAAAGCGUGGGGAGCGAACAGG
rnacentral:rRNA from 1 species